rnacentral:rRNA from 1 species
AUUUGUCUGGUUAAUUCCGAUAACGAACGAGACCUUAACCUGCUAACUAGAUUCAUUAGUAUUACUCUUGCAAUCUUCUUAGAGGGACUAUGUAAAACAAAUACAUGGAAGUUUGAGGCAAUAACAGGUCAGUGAUGCCCUUAUAUGUCCUGGGCUGCACGCGUGCUACACUGAUGCAUACAACAAGUGCCUAACCAGACAUGGUAUGGCAAUCUCGAAUAUGCAUCGUGAUGGGGAUAGAUCUUUGCAAUUAUAGAUCUUGAACGAGGAAUUCCUAGUAAGUGCAAGUCAUCAUCUUGCAUUGAUUAUGUCCCUGCCCUUUGUACACACCGCCCGUCGCUCCUACCGAUACCGGGUGAUCCGGUGAACCUUUUGGACCUUAACGGGGAAGAUAAGUAGACCAUAUCACCUAGAGGAAGGAGAAGUCGUAACAAGGUUUCCGUAGGUGAACCUGCRGAAGGAUCA